rnacentral:rRNA from 1 species
UACAGAGACCUCGAGCGUUAUCCGGAUUUAUUGGGCGUAAAGAGCAUGUAGGCGGAUAUAUUAGUCAGAUGUCAAAUCUUCGAGCUCAACUCGAAAACUGCAUUUGAAACGGUAUAUCUUGAGGAAGUGAGAGAUCGAUGGAACGUAUGGUGUAGCAGUGAAAUGCGUUGAUAUCAUACGGAACACCAAAGGCGAAGGCAUUCGAUUGGCACUUUUCUGACGCUGAGAUGCGAAAGCGUGGGUAGCGAAUGGG